ACUUAAAUUGAAGAGUUUGAUCAUGGCUCAGAUUGAACGCUGGCGGCAGGCCUAACACAUGCAAGUCGAGCGGUAGCACAGAGAGCUUGCUCUCGGGUGACGAGCGGCGGACGGGUGAGUAAUGUCUGGGAAACUGCCUGAUGGAGGGGGAUAACUACUGGAAACGGUAGCUAAUACCGCAUAACGUCGCAAGACCAAAGUGGGGGACCUUCGGGCCUCAUGCCAUCAGAUGUGCCCAGAUGGGAUUAGCUAGUAGGUGGGGUAACGGCUCACCUAGGCGACGAUCCCUAGCUGGUCUGAGAGGAUGACCAGCCACACUGGAACUGAGACACGGUCCAGACUCCUACGGGAGGCAGCAGUGGGGAAUAUUGCACAAUGGGCGCAAGCCUGAUGCAGCCAUGCCGCGUGUGUGAAGAAGGCCUUCGGGUUGUAAAGCACUUUCAGCGGGGAGGAAGGCGUUAAGGUUAAUAACCUUGGCGAUUGACGUUACCCGCAGAAGAAGCACCGGCUAACUCCGUGCCAGCAGCCGCGGUAAUACGGAGGGUGCAAGCGUUAAUCGGAAUUACUGGGCGUAAAGCGCACGCAGGCGGUCUGUCAAGUCGGAUGUGAAAUCCCCGGGCUCAACCUGGGAACUGCAUUCGAAACUGGCAGGCUAGAGUCUUGUAGAGGGGGGUAGAAUUCCAGGUGUAGCGGUGAAAUGCGUAGAGAUCUGGAGGAAUACCGGUGGCGAAGGCGGCCCCCUGGACAAAGACUGACGCUCAGGUGCGAAAGCGUGGGGAGCAAACAGGAUUAGAUACCCUGGUAGUCCACGCCGUAAACGAUGUCGAUUUGGAGGUUGUGCCCUUGAGGCGUGGCUUCCGGAGCUAACGCGUUAAAUCGACCGCCUGGGGAGUACGGCCGCAAGGUUAAAACUCAAAUGAAUUGACGGGGGCCCGCACAAGCGGUGGAGCAUGUGGUUUAAUUCGAUGCAACGCGAAGAACCUUACCUGGUCUUGACAUCCACAGAACUUUCCAGAGAUGGAUUGGUGCCUUCGGGAACUGUGAGACAGGUGCUGCAUGGCUGUCGUCAGCUCGUGUUGUGAAAUGUUGGGUUAAGUCCCGCAACGAGCGCAACCCUUAUCCUUUGUUGCCAGCGGUUAGGCCGGGAACUCAAAGGAGACUGCCAGUGAUAAACUGGAGGAAGGUGGGGAUGACGUCAAGUCAUCAUGGCCCUUACGACCAGGGCUACACACGUGCUACAAUGGCAUAUACAAAGAGAAGCGACCUCGCGAGAGCAAGCGGACCUCAUAAAGUAUGUCGUAGUCCGGAUUGGAGUCUGCAACUCGACUCCAUGAAGUCGGAAUCGCUAGUAAUCGUAGAUCAGAAUGCUACGGUGAAUACGUUCCCGGGCCUUGUACACACCGCCCGUCACACCAUGGGAGUGGGUUGCAAAAGAAGUAGGUAGCUUAACCUUCGGGAGGGCGCUUACCACUUUGUGAUUCAUGACAGGGGUGAAGUCGUAACAAGGUAACCGUAGGGGAACCUGCGGUUGGAUCACCUCCUUACCUUAAAGAA
rnacentral:rRNA from 1 species